rnacentral:lncRNA from 1 species
ACCUUCCUGCAUUAGACUUUGUGAUGCAAUCCCUCUAAGGUGAUAGUUUCCAUGAUGUGUAUCUGAGUAAAAGUUGCUUCAUUUCUAAUUGAGUAGCAGCUAGAUAACAGACUUCUCUUCGUUAAGAUCAUUAAUCGUAUAUUUAAUGGACUUAAAGGUGCCACCUGCAGAAAAGAAGACACGGUUAGAAGCCAAAAUUCAAAAAGAAUUAACUAGGACGAUUUACCCUAGAACCUCCAUUACCCGGGACAGAUUCAAUACUUCUAAUAAUGGCUUUGUGGCAUCAACUUUGGCGUCAAAUCAUGAGAAUAAACAAUUGAGGCCUUGAGGAUUCUUAACAACGGAACAGGAGAAGCGUGCUCAUCAGUGAAGGAGGCCGAUAGCCAUGUUGAGCCUGUCGAACAUAUUCAACUUGCUAUCUACCAAUGAAAGAGGUAAUAGUCAAUUACGUAGUGCAAUCUAUCAAUAAACUUCUUUUGUCUUAGAAACAAGAGUAAAAUGUGCACCAAUUCAUCUGAAAAUUUAUCACCUUUAGGUAAGUUUUGAGGCAUGACAAAGGCAUCCUAUGACCCUUAGGUGUGCCAAUCUAGGCUCCUUACAAUACAAUAAUUCAUAUGAAGUCUUGUAGCCUAGAACUAAAUAUGGCAAUCUGUUCAUCAAGUACACUUAAGCCUUAAUACAAAAACCCCAAAAUGUAAUAGUAGUUUUGACUGAAAUCGGAUAGCUUUGGUAAUCUCUAGAAUUUGACUAUGCUUCAUCUCCACAGUGUCAUUCUGCUGUGGAGUAUAAGGACAACUACUUUGAUGCAAUAUGUCAUGGAGUUGAAAUAACUCAAUAGUUUGAUGAUUAAAAAACUCAGUACCAUUGUCUGAUCUCACAACCUUAACAUGAGAGUCAAAUUGAGACUUGAUCAUCAACAGGAAAAAUUUAAUGGCAACAAUAGUUUCAGAUUUUAAUGACAACAGAUAAACCCAUACAAAUCUACUAUGAUCAUCUACAAGAAAAUAAUGUUUCUUGUCAAUGGUAGGGACUUGAAAUGGUCCCCAUAGAUCCACGUGAACAACCUCAAUCAUAGUAGAUGCUCUAGAAGUACUAGAAGGGAAAGGGAGUUUAGCUUGUUUAGCUAGGGGACACAAACAGGACAAUUAUUGAGAAUUUCACAAUCAUUCCUGCAAUCCAUCAACUUGAAUGCCACGGCUAGACAUCAGGUAUUGUCACAUUGGCUCUUAUUGUUCCCUUUGAGUUAUUACCGUCCUUAUUCAGAUGCUUUAGCACAGUCUCAGUUUUGAAGAUGUACAAUUCCCCAUUCUCCGUACCAACCCCCCUCACUCUGCCACUCAAGAGGACCUGGAAGACACAAAAGUCAGGGUAGAAGGAAAUGGUAUGUUUUGUAGAGUAUUGUUGUCCAUGUAAUGAACUUUCUAAAAAUGAACAGGGCUUUAUGAUUGAUCGUCACAGUCUGAGUAGGUGAGACUUUAGUCCUUACUGUUGAAAAAAAAUCUUAAUGUUGCAUCUGGGGUUAGUUGUCUGAGUAUUUUAGCUUUACUUGGAUGGUGUUUGGUGGCACUUGGUGGAAACAGUAGCAAGAGUGAUAACCGCCAUAGUGUCCGAGCGAGCUUUCAAGUACCUCGACUAAAUUAAAGUGAUACCUGCUACCUCCUACCAGGAGCAAAUAUCAUGUAAUUUUGUCCACCAGAGCUAGGACAGAGAACGGGGUGGGGUGAUAGGACACCAAAUUAUUGAUUUUAAAGAGAAAUGACCAAAAAUAUGUUUGAACAUUUUUACAAAAGCAUUGAGACAUGAUACAAGACUAAGUGUGUAUCAAGGGAUUCCAACCAACAUAAGAACAACAAGAUGAACAACAAAGUGCCAGUGAAUCGAAAAAUGGCCACACACGGCUUCACUAGGCUUGCAACACUUGUUUUGAACGAGAAAAAUGAUUUUAACAGCAAUAACAACAAAGACAAUAUUGCUGGUGAAUUUAAAGAGCACCACACGGCUUCACUAGACAUUUAGAUUCAACAACACAAUGUUACCAAGAUUUGCAAAAAAAGAGAUAGAAACUUCACACACAAUAUUCAACUUGACACACAAUAUUCAUUCAUCUAAGAACCCUAACAAGAAAAAGGACCCUAAGACUAAUGAAUAUCAAUACCAAGUUCUUACUUGGACCAAGAGGAACUCAAAGAACCCCAAGAACCUAGUUUCUAGCCAAGAUACAACACUACUAUCACUCUACUAGUGAGAUUCGAUUUUGGCCUCUCCAAAUGAGAAAGAGAAGUCAAAAAUAUUACAAGUCUUUUUGUCUUCUAUGAUAUGAAUAAACUAACUAAAAGACUAGCCCUAAUAAAUGGCUUAUAUAGUCAAUUACAAAGGAGGGCAAAAGACCAAAAUACCCUUGACAUUAAGUAGGUGGGUUUAGGGUGUUUUGUUGGGCCUCUUCACACUUUAAUAAGUAUAGGCCCUUAGAUGGGCUCACAAGGGCCUCACACACGGCCAAGGAUGUGAACAAGGCUUGAAGUCAUUGCAACUCACGCGCUUGACUUCGUGUGAAAGGUCUCGAGCUAGGAAUUCCCAUAUCAAGACACAGGGUAUAACAUGUAGCAUUCAGGGUCAAGUUGGCAAUAUUUCCUUUUUCCAAUUUCAGAAAAGUCACUUAUCUGUGUUAUUUCCUUCAAAAAGUUAUUCAUGCACUUUGGUGUACAAAAUUAAUGUUCAAAAUUUCGAACCAAAAAUUAUCCUUUCAAAAGCUCAUUCAUGCACAUAAUUGCUUUUAUUGGUAUAUCGAGAGCUCCUCCAUGUAUUAUUCAACAUCAAACGGAUAUCGGAUUCCUCUUGGAUGAUUUAAGCAGAUGCCAUAGUGAAUAACUCUUGAGCGAUAGAUUCUUGAUGUCUAUCCGAACCUUCCUGCAUUAGACUUUGUGAUGCAAUCCCUCUAAGGUGAUAGUUUCCAUGAUAUGUAUCUGAGUAAAAGUUGCUUCAUUUCUAAUUGCGUAGCUCUAGAUAACAAACUUCUCUUCAUUAAACUCACCGAUCCUAUAUUUAAUGGACUUAAAGGGGUCACCUGCAGAAUUUAACCUAGUAACUCCAUUACCCCGGACAGAUUCAGUACUUCUAAUAAUGGCUUUGUGACAUCAACUUUGGCAUCAAAUUGUGAGAAUAAACAAUGGAGGCCUUGAGUAUUCUUGACAAAGGAAUAGGAGAAGUGUGCUCAUCGGUGAGGGAGGCCUUGAGUACCUCUUAUUGCAUUGGACUUUCUCGGUAACUUUACUACCUACAGAGGUUUCACAUUGUUUGUGAUGAUGGUAUUUCUUUUG